GCCCUGGUGGCGCAGUGGUUAAGUGCUUGGCUGCUAACCAAAGGUUGGAGGUUCGAAUCUACCCAGGGGCC
rnacentral:tRNA from 1 species